GCUUGUCUCAAAGAUUAAGCCAUGCAUGUCUAAGUAUAAAUGUUAUACAGUGAAACUGCGAAUGGCUCAUUAAAACAGUUAUAGUUUAUUUGAUAAUCGAAUUUACAUGGAUAACCGUGGUAAUUCUAGAGCUAAUACAUGCUAAAAACCUCGACUUCGGAAGGGGUGUAUUUAUUAGAUAAAAAACCAAUGCCCUCCGGGGCUCCUUGGUGAUUCAUAAUAACUUAACGAAUCGCAUGGCCUUGCGCCGGCGAUGGUUCAUUCAAAUUUCUGCCCUAUCAACUUUCGAUGGUAAGAUAGUGGCUUACCAUGGUCUCAACGGGUAACGGGGAAUUAGGGUUCUAUUCCGGAGAGGGAGCCUGAGAAACGGCUACCACAUCCAAGGAAGGCAGCAGG
rnacentral:rRNA from 1 species